rnacentral:rRNA from 1 species
GACGAACGCUGGCGGCGUGCCUAACACAUGCAAGUCGAACGCACCGCAAGGUGAGUGGCGCACGGGUGAGUAACACGUGGGAAUGUAUCCUUUGGUUCGGAAUAACGUCUGGAAACGGACGCUAAUACCGGAUGAGCCCUUAGGGGAAAGAUUUAUCGCCGAAGGAGCAGCCCGCGUCUGAUUAGGUAGUUGGUGGGGUAAAGGCCUACCAAGCCGACGAUCAGUAGCUGGUCUGAGAGGAUGAUCAGCCACACUGGGACUGAGACACGGCCCAGACUCCUACGGGAGGCAGCAGUGGGGAAUAUUGGACAAUGGGCGCAAGCCUGAUCCAGCCAUGCCGCGUGAGUGAUGAAGGCCUUCGGGUUGUAAAGCUCUUUCGCACACGACGAUGAUGACGGUAGUGUGAGAAGAAGCCCCGGCUAACUUCGUGCCAGCAGCCGCAGUAAGAC